rnacentral:rRNA from 1 species
CCCUUAGAUGUUCUGGGCCGCACACGCGCUACACUGAAGGAGGCAGCGUGUACUCCUGGAUCGAAAGGUUUGGGUAACCCGCGAAUCUCCUUCGUGCUAGGGAUUGAGGUUUGCAAUUAUCCUUCAUGAACGAGGAAUUCCCAGUAAGUGCAAGUCAUAAGCUUGCGCUGACUACGUCCCUGCCCUUUGUACACACCGCCCGUCGCUACUACCGAUUGAAUGAUUUAGUGAGGACUUCGGACUGGGACCGAUGCGGCUUUCGGGCUGCGUCGGUAUUCUGGAAAGAUGUCCAAACUGUAUCAUUUAGAGGAAGUAAAAGUCGUAACA